UAAAUAAAUAAAUAAAUGAUAAACAAAGUGAUUUCUUUCCCAGCAGGCUGAGUUAGCACUAGAAGAGCUGAAGGACAGAAUUGAAGAGGACAUGCUUGACAGUAUGGGUGCUCUCUGUCAGAACGACGACCAGGCAUCUACUCCCUUACUUUUGAAAGAGCAGCAGGAACUACGUCGCAGAGUCCAGAGGCCCACCCUGGAAAGUGAGGGUCCAGGGGUCCAACAGCCUGGGGAGAGCUUCUACGACAGGUUAUUGAGGUGCUUCCAA